rnacentral:rRNA from 1 species
AGACCCGAAACCCGGUGAUCUAGCCAUGGGCAGGUUGAAGGUUGGGUAACACUAACUGGAGGACCGAACCGACUAAUGUUGAAAAAUUAGCGGAUGACCUGUGGCUGGGGGUGAAAGGCCAAUCAAACCGGGAGAUAGCUGGUUCUCCCCGAAAGCUAUUUAGGUAGCGCCUCGUGAAUUCAUCUCCGGGGGUAGAGCACUGUUUCGGCUAGGGGGCCAUCCCGGCUUACCAACCCGAUGCAAACUGCGAAUACCGGAGAAUGUUAUCACGGGAGACACACGGCGGGUGCUAACGUCCGUCGUGAAGAGGGAAACAACCCAGACCGCCAGCUAAGGUCCCAAAGUCAUGGUUAAGUGGGAAACGAUGUGGGAAGGCCCAGACAGCCAGGAUGUUGGCUUAGAAGCAGCCAUCAUUUAAAGAAAGCGUAAUAGCUCACUGGUCGAGUCGGCCUGCGCGGAAGAUGUAACGGGGCUAAACCAUGCACCGAAGCUGCGGCAGCGAACGUAUCACCCAAGACAACUUUACGGAGUUGACGAUUGACGGAGCGAAGCGACGUCAAAGCGUUCAUUAAAGUCGAGUUGGCUUAGGGAUACGUUCGUUGGGUAGGGGAGCGUUCUGUAAGCCUGUGAAGGUGUGUCGUGAGGCAUGCUGGAGGUAUCAGAAGUGCGAAUGCUGACAUAAGUAACGAUAAAGCGGGUGAAAAGCCCGCUCGCCGGAAGACCAAGGGUUCCUGUCCAACGUUAAUCGGGGCAGGGUGAGUCGACCCCUAAGGCGAGGCCGAAAGGCGUAGUCGAUGGGAAACGGGUUAAUAUUCCCGUACUUGGUGUUACUGCGAAGGGGGGACGGAGAAGGCUAUGUUGGCCGGGCGACGGUUGUCCCGGUUUAAGGGUGUAGGUGUGUGUUCCAGGUAAAUCCGGUUCACUUUAACACUGAGGCGUGACGACGAGGCACUACGGUGCUGAAGCAACAAAUGCCCUGCUUCCAGGAAAAGCCUCUAAGCAUCAGGUAACACGAAAUCGUACCCCAAACCGACACAGGUGGUCAGGUAGAGAAUACCAAGGCGCUUGAGAGAACUCGGGUGAAGGAACUAGGCAAAAUGGUGCCGUAACUUCGG